CUACGUGCCAGCAGCCGCGGUAAUACGUAGGUGGCAAGCGUUGUCCGGAAUUAUUGGGCGUAAAGCGCGCGCAGGCGGAUUGGUCAGUCUGUCUUAAAAGUUCGGGGCUUAACCCCGUGAUGGGAUGGAAACUGCCAAUCUAGAGUAUCGGAGAGGAAAGUGGAAUUCCUAGUGUAGCGGUGAAAUGCGUAGAUAUUAGGAAGAACACCAGUGGCGAAGGCGACUUUCUGGACGAAAACUGACGCUGAGGCGCGAAAGCCAGGGGAGCGAACGGGAUUAGAUACCCCGGUAGUCCUGGCCGUAAACGAUGGGUACUAGGUGUAGGAGGUAUCGACCCCUUCUGUGCCGGAGUUAACGCAAUAAGUACCCCGCCUGGGGAGUACGACCGCAAGGUUGAAACUCAAAGGAAUUGACGGGGGCCCGCACAAGCGGUGGAGUAUGUGGUUUAAUUCGAUGAUACGCGAGGAACCUUACCCGGGCUUGAAUUGCAGUCGCUGCCCACAGAGA
rnacentral:rRNA from 1 species